CAGUCGCCGCGGUAAUACAGAGGGUGCGAGCGUUAAUCGGAUUUACUGGCGUAAAGCGUGCGUAGGCGGCUUUUUAAGUCGGAUGUGAAAUCCCUGAGCUUAACUUAGGAAUUGCAUUCGAUACUGGGAAGCUAGAGUAUGGGAGAGGAUGGUAGAAUUCCAGGUGUAGCGGUGAAAUGCGUAGAGAUCUGGAGGAAUACCGAUGGCGAAGGCAGCCAUCUGGCCUAAUACUGACGCUGAGGUACGAAAGCAUGGGGAGCAAACAGGAUUAGAUACCCCGGUAGUCCCUGUCUCUUAUACC
rnacentral:rRNA from 1 species